rnacentral:rRNA from 1 species
CCUACGGGGGGCAGCAGUGGGGAAUAUUGGACAAUGGGGGCAACCCUGAUCCAGCCAUGCCGCGUGUGUGAAGAAGGCCCUCGGGUUGUAAAGCACUUUCAGUGAGGAAGAACGCCUGGUGGUUAAUACCCAUCAGGAAAGACAUCACUCACAGAAGAAGCACCGGCUAACUCCGUGCCAGCAGCCGCGGUAAUAUGGAGGGUGCGAGCGUUAAUCGGAAUUACUGGGCGUAAAGCGCGCGUAGGUGGCUUGAUAAGCCGGUUGUGAAAGCCCCGGGCUCAACCUGGGAACGGCAUCCGGAACUGUCAAGCUAGAGUGCAGGAGAGGAAGGUAGAAUUCCCGGUGUAGCGGUGAAAUGCGUAGAGAUCGGGAGGAAUACCAGUGGCGAAGGCGGCCUUCUGGACUGACACUGACACUGAGGUGCGAAAGCGUGGGUAGCAAACAGGAUUAGAUACCCGUGUAGUC